CCUACGGGGGGCAGCAGUGGGGAAUAUUGGGCAAUGGGCGCAAGCCUGACCCAGCAACGCCGCGUGAAGGAAGAAGGGUUUCGGCUCGUAAAGCUCUGUUGGUAGUGAAGAAAGAUAGCGGUAGUAACUGGCCUUUCUUUUACGGUAAUUACUUAGAAAGUCACGGCUAACUCCGUGCCAGCAGCCGCGGUAAUACGUAGGUGGCACGCGUUGUCCGGAUUUAUUGGGCGUAAAGCGAGUGCAGGCGGUGCAAUAAGUCUGAUGUGAAAGCCUUCGGCUCAAGCGGAGAAUUGCAUCAGAAACUGUUGAAGUGGAGUGCAGAAGAGGAGAGUGGAACGCCAUGUGUAGCGGUGGAAUGCGUAGAUAUAUGGAAGAACACCAGUGGCGAAGGCGGCUCUCUGGUCUGCAACUGACGCUGAGGCUCGAAAGCAUGGGUAGCGAACAGGAUUAGAUACCCGUGUAGUC
rnacentral:rRNA from 1 species